rnacentral:rRNA from 1 species
UGGGUAACACUAACUGGAGGACCGAACCGACUAAUGUUGAAAAAUUAGCGGAUGACCUGUGGCUGGGGGUGAAAGGCCAAUCAAACCGGGAGAUAGCUGGUUCUCCCCGAAAGCUAUUUAGGUAGCGCCUCGUGAAUUCAUCUCCGGGGGUAGAGCACUGUUUCGGCUAGGGGGCCAUCCCGGCUUACCAACCCGAUGCAAACUGCGAAUACCGGAGAAUGUUAUCACGGGAGACACACGGCGGGUGCUAACGUCCGUCGUGAAGAGGGAAACAACCCAGACCGCCAGCUAAGGUCCCAAAGUCAUGGUUAAGUGGGAAACGAUGUGGGAAGGCCCAGACAGCCAGGAUGUUGGCUUAGAAGCAGCCAUCAUUUAAAGAAAGCGUAAUAGCUCACUGGUCGAGUCGGCCUGCGCGGAAGAUGUAACGGGGCUAAACCAUGCACCGAAGCUGCGGCAGCGACACUGUGUGUUGUUGGGUAGGGGAGCGUUCUGUAAGCCUGUGAAGGUGUGUCGUGAGGCAUGCUGGAGGUAUCAGAAGUGCGAAUGCUGACAUAAGUAACGAUAAAGCGGGUGAAAAGCCCGCUCGCCGGAAGACCAAGGGUUCCUGUCCAACGUUAAUCGGGGCAGGGUGAGUCGACCCCUAAGGCGAGGCCGAAAGGCGUAGUCGAUGGGAAACGGGUUAAUAUUCCCGUACUUGGUGUUACUGCGAAGGGGGGACGGAGAAGGCUAUGUUGGCCGGGCGACGGUUGUCCCGGUUUAAGCGUGUAGGUGUGUGUUCCAGGUAAAUCCGGUUCACUUUAACACUGAGGCGUGACGACGAGGCACUACGGUGCUGAAGCAACAAAUGCCCUGCUUCCAGGAAAAGCCUCUAAGCAUCAGGUAACAUCAAAUCGUACCCCAAACCGACACAGGUGGUCAGGUAGAGAAUACCAAGGCGCUUGAGAGAACUCGGGUGAAGGAACUAGGCAAAAUGGUGCCGUAACUUCGGGAGAAGGCACGCUGACACGUAGGUGAAGUGAUUUACUCAUGGAGCUGAAGUCAGUCGAAGAUACCAGCUGGCUGCAACUGUUUAUUAAAAACACAGCACUGUGCAAACACGAAAGUGGACGUAUACGGUGUGACGCCUGCCCGGUGCCGGAAGGUUAAUUGAUGGGGUCAGCGCAAGCGAAGCUCCUGAUCGAAGCCCCGGUAAACGGCGGCCGUAACUAUAACGGUCCUAAGGUAGCGAAAUUCCUUGUCGGGUAAGUUCCGACCUGCACGAAUGGCGUAAUGAUGGCCAGGCUGUCUCCACCCGAGACUCAGUGAAAUUGAACUCGCUGUGAAGAUGCAGUGUACCCGCGGCAAGACGGAAAGACCCCGUGAACCUUUACUAUAGCUUGACACUGAACAUUGAGCCUUGAUGUGUAGGAUAGGUGGGAGGCUUUGAAGUGUGGACGCCAGUCUGCAUGGAGCCGACCUUGAAAUACCACCCUUUAAUGUUUGAUGUUCUAACGUGGACCCGUUACCCGGGUUGCGGACAGUGUCUGGUGGGUAGUUUGACUGGGGCGGUCUCCUCCUAAAGAGUAACGGAGGAGCACGAAGGUUGGCUAAUCCUGGUCGGACAUCAGGAGGUUAGUGCAAUGGCAUAAGCCAGCUUGACUGCGAGCGUGACGGCGCGAGCAGGUGCGAAAGCAGGUCAUAGUGAUCCGGUGGUUCUGAAUGGAAGGGCCAUCGCUCAACGGAUAAAAGGUACUCCGGGGAUAACAGGCUGAUACCGCCCAAGAGUUCAUAUCGACGGCGGUGUUUGGCACCUCGAUGUCGGCUCAUCACAUCCUGGGGCUGAAGUAGGUCCCAAGGGUAUGGCUGUUCGCCAUUUAAAGUGGUACGCGAGCUGGGUUUAGAACGUCGUGAGACAGUUCGGUCCCUAUCUGCCGUGGGCGCUGGAGAACUGAGGGGGGCUGCUCCUAGUACGAGAGGACCGGAGUGGACGCAUCACUGGUGUUCGGGUUGUCAUGCCAAUGGCACUGCCCGGUAGCUAAAUGCGGAAGAGAUAAGUGCUGAAAGCAUCUAAGCACGAAACUUGCCCCGAGAUGAGUUCUCCCUGAGACUUAGAGUCUCCUGAAGGAACGUUGAAGACGACGACGUUGAUAGGCCGGGUGUGUAAGCGCAGCGAUGCGUUGAGCUAACCGGUACUAAUGAACCGUGAGGCUUAACCUUACAACGCCGAAG